UUACAAUUUCUUACGUUCCUAUGACAUUGUUAGCUCAGACGAAGUUACAAUUACAUCGUCAAUACGUAACUGUCCCAAUUCGCUGUUUACGUAAGGUUCUGUAAGGUUAGUUUAGGCUUUUAGGGAAUUUUAAAUGAUGGCAUAUGAUUUCUCAAGUUCGUUUGGCAUUCAAAAUUUCAUCUUUAUUUUUUCAGUGACAGGUUACUAUUGUUAGGUUAGGUUAGGUUAGGUUAGGUUACUAUUUUAUUAUUGACAUGUAACUAUUUUAGGCAAGGAUUAUAUAGGAUUUUACGAGUAGACAAUUUGCUAUUUCUAAUGUUCCUACGGCACUGUUGGGUUAGUCGAAGUUACAAUUAUAUCGUCAAUACGUAACUGUCCCAAUUCGCUGUUUACGUAAGGUUCUGUUAGGUUACAAUUACAUCAAUAACGCGUAACAAUUUUUGCGAUGGAUACUUUCAUAUUUUUUCAUUUAGGUGGGUUUGUUAGGUUAGGUUAAUAUUUAAGCAAAAACAAUUUACUAUUUCUUGAGACAUUAUUAGGCUCGGUUAGGUUACAAUUUCAUCGGCCAUUGGACACUAACCCUUCGACAAUUACUUUCAUAUUUGUAAAGUUUUUGUGAGGUCUUACGAGGCUCGGUAACGAUUUUAGGGAAUUUUCAAGGAUUUUAGUCGAUAACUUACUCUGUCUUAAAUUGAUGUCAUUGUUUGGUUAAGCUACGUAUAUAUUUCAUCGGCAAUACGUAACUAAUCUUGCGUCAAUCACUUCCAUAUCUGUUGCUUUUGUAAGGAUUUAUAAGGAUGAGUAAGGAUUUUUGAGUCAAUAAUUUGCUCUCUCUGAAGUUUGUUUGGUUAGCCGACAUUAAUAUUUCAUCGGCGAUACGUAACUAAUUUUGAGGCUAAUAUGUACUUCCAUAUUCAUUGCUAUCGAGAGGUUUUAUUAAGUUCGGUAAGGAUUUUUAGGGAAUUUUCAAGGAUUUUAAGAGUAGAUAAUUUACUCUCUGAAGAUUGUCGCUGUUUUGCUAGUCUAAGUAAUUAUACCUCAUCUGCGGCACGUAUUAAUUUUAGCGAGAAUUACCUCCCUAUUUGUUGCUAACGUAAAGUUCCGUCGGGCUAAGCUAGCUGAAUUAGGCGACCAUUAACCACAAAUCAUUAAGUUCUCAAGAAGUUUCGUUACUAAUUCACAAGGUUACUAUUUCAGCGAGAGUAGAGCGACAGUGCCAUAUCAGGUCAAACUCACUAAAAAUAUCGUCAAUGAGGUUACUAUUUGUGAUGUUUUACUAGUGGAGUGGAGAUUAGAGCGACGAUCCCAUAUCGGGUCAAACUCACUAAAAAUAUCGUCUACAAGGUUACUAUUUCAGCGAUGUUUUACUAGUGGAGCGGAGAUUGGAGCGUUGAUGCCAUAUCGGGUCAAACUCACUAAAAAUAUCGUCUAUGAGGUUACUAUUUCAGCGAUGUUUUACUAGUGGAGCGGAGAUUGGAGCGUUGAUGCCAUAUCGGGUCAAACUCACUAAAAAUAUCGUCAAUGAGGUUACUAUUUCAGCGAUGUUUUACUAGUGGAGCGGAGAUUGGAGCGUUGAUGCCAUAUCGGGUCAAACUCACUAAAAAUAUCGUCUAUAAGGUUACUAUUUCAGCGAUGUUUUACUAGUGGAGUGGAGAUUACAGCGUUGAUGCCAUAUCGGGUCAAACUCACUAAAAAUAUCGUCUAUGAGGUUACUAUUUGUGAUGUUUUACUAGUGGAGUGGAGAUUACAGCGUUGAUGCCAUAUCGGGUCAAACUCACUAAAAAUAUCGUCUAUGAGGUUACUAUUUGUGAUGUUUUACUAGUGGAGCGGAGAUUGGAGCGACAGUGCCAUAUCAGGUCAAACUCACUAAAAAUAUCGUCUACAAGGUUACUAUUUGUGAUGUUUUACUAGUGUACGGAGAUUGGAGCGUUGAUGCCAUAUCGGGUCAAACUCACUAAAAAUAUCGCCUCCGAGGUCAUAUUAAAAAAAAAAUAUCGGUUUGCCUUAAAAAUUAAAAAAAAAAUAUCGCAGUUUGCCUUAAAAAUUAAAAAAAAAAUAUCGCAGUUUGCCUUAAAAAUUAAAAAAAAAAUAUCGCAGUUUGCCUUAAAAAUUAAAAAAAAAUUAAUGGUGCUUUUAAAAAUUCGUAAUAAUGAUAAUAAUAAUAAUAAUUACUACUACUACUACUACUACUACUACUACUACUAUUACCACUACUA